rnacentral:rRNA from 1 species
GUAUCUAACCAGAAAGCCACGGCUAACUACGUGCCAGCAGCCGCGGUAAUACGUAGGUGGCAAGCGUUGUCCGGAUUUAUUGGGCGUAAAGCGAGCGCAGGCGGUUUCUUAAGUCUGAUGUGAAAGCCCCCGGCUCAACCGGGGAGGGUCAUUGGAAACUGGGAGACUUGAGUGCAGAAGAGGAGAGUGGAAUUCCAUGUGUAGCGGUGAAAUGCGUAGAUAUAUGGAGGAACACCAGUGGCGAAGGCGGCUCUCUGGUCUGUAACUGACGCUGAGGCUCGAAAGCGUGGGGAGCAAACAGGAUUAGAUACCCUGGUAGUCCACGCCGUAAACGAUGAGUGCUAAGUGUUGGAGGGUUUCCGCCCUUCAGUGCUGCAGC